rnacentral:rRNA from 1 species
UACGUAGGGGGCAAGCGUUGUCCGGAUUUAUUGGGCGUAAAGCGCGCGUAGGCGGCCCGGUAAGUCCGUUGUGAAAGUCAAAGGCUCAACCUUUGAACGCCGAUGGAUACUGCCGGGCUAGAGUCCGGAAGAGGCGAGUGGAAUUCCUGGUGUAGAGGUGAAAUUCGUAGAUAUUGGGAAGAACACCGGUGGCGAAGGCGGCGCUCUGGACCGAUACUGACGCUGAGGCGCGAAAGCGUGGGGAGCAAACAGG